GCGACCCCAGGUCAGGCGGGACUACCCGCUGAGUUUAAGCAUAUAAAUAA
rnacentral:rRNA from 4 species